GAUUAACGCUGGCGGCGUGCAUAACACAUGCAAGUCGAACGAUGAAACUCAUUAGACUUCUUCGGAAUGACAAUGAAUGGAUUAGUGGCGAACGGGUGAGUAACGCGUGAGUAACCUGCCUUACACAAGGGGAUAGCCUCUGGAAACGGAGAAUAAUACCCUAUAACAUUACAACUUCGCAUGAAGCAGUAAUCAAAGUGUUAGCGGUGUAAGAUGGACUUGCGUCUGAUUAGCUAGUUGGUGAGAUAACAGCCCACCAAGGCAACGAUCAGUAGCCGGCUUGAGAGAGUGUACGGCCACAUUGGGGACUGAGACACGGCCCAGACUCCUACGGGAGGCAGCAGUGGGGAAUUUUGCACAAUGGGGGCAACCCUGAUGCAGCGACGCCGCGUGAUUUAGAAGGCCUUCGGGUUGUAAAAAUCUUUUGUAUAGGAAGAAAAUGACAGUACUAUACGAAUAAGGUCCGGCUAAUACGUGCC
rnacentral:rRNA from 1 species